CGGAAGCCCUCGGGGUUCCAUACUCACCUUCCCGCCACGCCGCCUUCUCAGGAGGCUGGCCCCCCUUGGUAAAAUCAUAAGUGACCAAAAAUAAGUGUCUGACUCGUUUUUCUAGUCGUAAGUUGGGUGAGGGUCACCACCGCGCCCAGCUCCUAACCACGUUCUUUAGUGGCAAGAGGAAAGAAGGAUGCCACCCGUUUCAAGGAUGCUCGAGGGAGCCCCAGAGGAACUAACGGUCUUCAGGAUUGCUGCAGGUUCUUUUUCUCUCAGCUCUGCAGGCAAGAAGCCCAACUCGGGACCAGUGAAAAGGGGAGCACUCCCGGCCAGGUGUCCUCGUGUGCCACGGCGGCGCCCACACUCGUCCACCUCUUAAGGUACCUCUCCGGUAUCCACAGCUCUAACUGGAGGUGGUGAUGGUGCCUGCCACGAAGGUCAUUGGAGGAUUGAGUGAAUUGCUAUCAGGAAACGUGCAUGACUCGGAAAAGUGCCUGCUUGUUAACUAGGCAUCAUUGUUGACUAAGUUAUCUUGGGUGUUUACAAAAGAACAAAAGGGUUAGUGAAGAGGAGUUAAGUCAGCUCUGUGGAAGGAAACUUUCUAUUACAGCAGGUCUGGAGAGUUUAUUCCAUCCAUCUCAAAUAGGAUAUUUCUAAAGUCAGAAAUAGACUAGGCCUACGGGUAACCGGAAAAAAAAAAAAAAAACGGAAAACAGAAAAACCAGACCUGAUGUCAUGGAGGUCAGAGUGGAGAUGGAGGAAUGCAACAGAUGCCAGCAAUGCAAUGUGUACACUCUGAUAUGGGACCUCAGUGAAGUUACAGACCCACCAUCAGAGAGCAUUAAGAGGGGAAAUGACAUUACAGACACAACCGUAUAAGAGAACAGAAAGGAGAGAUGCUAAGAGAAAAGAGACUAGUUCAGACCACAUUGCUCCACGUGCUGGCUCUUGAACCCUGGAAAUAUGGCUAAUCUUAAUCAAGACAUGCUGCACUUUUAAAAGGUCUGAUGCACAUGAGAAGGAGGUAAUCUCGUUUAUCUCAUAUUGAUUACAUGUUGAAAUGACAAAAUUUGAUA